rnacentral:rRNA from 1 species
CCUACGGGCGACAGCAGUGAGGAAUAUUGGUCAAUGGGCGAGAGCCUGAACCAGCCAAGUCGCGUGAGGGAGUACUGCCCUAUGGGUUGUAAACCUCUUUUGUCGGGGAGCAAAAGCCGGACGUGUCCGGCUGUGAGAGUACCCGAAGAAAAAGCAUCGGCUAACUCCGUGCCAGCAGCCGCGGUAAUACGGAGGAUGCGAGUGGUAUCCGGAUUUAUUGGGGUUAAAGGGUGCGCAGGCGGAUUUUUAAGUCAGCGGUCAAAUCGUGGGGCUCAACCCCAUCCAGCCGUUGAAACUGGGGAUCUAGAGUGUGCGAGAGGUAUGCGGAAUGCGUGGUGUAGCGGUGAAAUGCAUAGAUAUCACGCAGAACCCCGAUUGCGAAGGCAGCAUACCGGUGCACAACUGACGCUCAGGCACGAAAGCGUGGGUAUCGAACAGGAUUAGAUACCCCGGUAGUC